GUAAUCUUGUGAAACUCUGUCGUGCUGGGGAUAGAGCAUUGCAAUUAUUGCUCUUCAACGAGGAAUCCCUAGUAAGCGCAAGUCAUCAGCUUGCGUUGAUUACGUCCCUGCCCUUUGUACACACCGCCCGUCGCUACUACCGAUUGAAUGGUUCAGUGAGGCUUUCGGACUGCCCAGGGAGGUCGGCAACGACCACCCAGGGCCGGAAAGUUAUCCAAACUCGAUCAUUUAGAGGAAGUAAAAGUCGUAACAAGGUCUCCGUUGGUGAACCAGCGGAGGGAUCAUU
rnacentral:rRNA from 1 species